rnacentral:tRNA from 2 species
GGGCCAGUAGCUCAGUUGGUUAGAGCGUCCGCCUGAUAAGCGGGAGGUCAGAGGUUCAAAUCCUCUUUGGCCCACCA